UACGUAGGCGGGAAAUUAAGUCAGUAGUGAAAUCCCACAGCUUAACUGUGGAACUGUUAUUGAUACUGGUUUUCUUGAAUAUAGUUGAGGUAGGCGGAAUGUGUAAUGUAGCGGUGAAAUGCUUAGAUAUUACACAGAACACCGAUUGCGAAGGCAGCUUACUAAGCUAUGAUUGACGCUGAGGUACGAAAGCGUGGGGAGCGAACAGGAUUAGAUACCAUGGUAGUCC
rnacentral:rRNA from 1 species